CCUACGGGUGGCAGCAGUGAGGAAUAUUGGUCAAUGGACGAGAGUCUGAACCAGCCAAGUAGCGUGAAGGAUGACUGUCCUAUGGGUUGUAAACUUCUUUUAUAUGGGAAUAAAAUGUUCCACGUGUGGGAUUUUGUAUGUACCAUAUGAAUAAGUAUCGGCUAACUCCGUGCCAGCAGCCGCGGUAAUACGGAGGAUCCGAGCGUUAUCCGGAUUUAUUGGGUUUAAAGGGAGCGUAGGUGGAUUGUUAAGUCAGUUGUGAAAGUUUGCGGCGGAACCGUAAAAUUGCAGUUGAAACUGGCAGUCUUGAGUACAGUAGAGGUGGGCGGAAUUCGUGGUGUAGCGGUGAAAUGCUUAGAUAUCACGAAGAACUCCGAUUGCGAAGGCAGUUCACUGGACUGCAACUGACACUGAGGCUCGAAAGUGUGGGUAUCAAACAGGAUUAGAUACCCGGGUAGUC
rnacentral:rRNA from 1 species